rnacentral:lncRNA from 1 species
AUGUCCUUUUCACCUUUGUGGUAUCGAGGUAAGUUUGUAUGUAAACAAUACCAUGCUAUACAUGUAUUUAAAUGUUAUCAUUACAUGAAUUGUACAGAUAUUAAGUGUAUGUGAUUAAUAGAAAUAUGAUAAGAGAAAGCCUUAAUAGACGAGGAAAACUCCCGUUUGAACCUUAGGAAUAGAAUAGGAUACGAGUGACAUGUCACUAGAAAUUAUGAGUCUAGAUGAGUAGCUCGAGAGUGAGCAUUGAAAUGUCAUGAGAUAUGAGGUAGCUUUAGCUACAAUUGAGGCACUUAUGUGCAAAGGCUUUUCCGAGUAUCCAAUUAGUAUUCCAAGUGUUCAACGGGUAAUCCAAUGAAAGAGUUGAUGAUGGUCCCAAUGAGGUAAGUCAUUGGUGAGUAUACACUUGAGUUAUGUUACGAGUUGUGCAAGUAUGUAUAUUAAGCCUAUGAGAAUGCCUUGAUAUGUGAUGAUCUAUGAUGCAUAAUAUGUGUUCUUACCAUGAUGGAUGAAAUGAUGUUGUAUUAAUUUUGUGAACAAUGAUCAUGAAUGAGUAACUUAGCCUUGACAGAUUUGAGUUACUGCAGUAGUGUAACUUUGAAAAUACACUAAAAAUAGUGGAAAGUUAGUUAGUGGCAGAAUAAAAUAUGCAAUUAAAGCUUAAUGAGUCUAUUUUCACAUGAAAGAAACAGGGGAAGAAAAAGAAUUCUAUAUUGUGUGAUAUUUGAGUUCUUGUAAAAUAGGGUCUGAAUGAAUUCGAGAUCCCCUGUUCUAACUUUAUAAAUUCAUCAUAAAUUGUAAAAAAAUUAUUAAGAGUCAUACCUUACAUUCAUGGAUUCUUUUUUGAGUCUAUUUUUAAGAGCAACAAGCGGCAUGGUGAUUGGAAUUCUGUACAGGGAUAAAUUCAGUUCGUAGUGCACAAGGGUUAGAGUGGUCAUACCCUAAAAUAGGGGAGACUUUAACUAAUAAACUUUACUAAAUGGCUUGACCAAAAAUUCUAUAAAAAAAUUACUAAGUAUACAUAUGAGUAUAGUUUCAAGAUAAAUAGACGAGAACAUUAUUUGAAUCCUGUACUAUGAGAUAAUUGAGCUUGAGUGCAGAAGGGUUGAAACUGUCAGACAGUGAAUCAAGAGCAAACUUGAGGAAUAAACUGUACUAAUUGGCUAAGUCAAAAAUUCUGGAAAUUUUAUGAAAGAAAUAUAAAUGAGUCUAGUUUCAGGGAAAAUUAACGGAACUUAAUUUGGAGUUUCGUAGCUCCAGAUAUAAAUAAUUUAGUGACUAUUGCUCAGGAAGACAGCUUGCAGUGAACUUGAGAAUAUGUUGUAAACAUUGAUAAAACAAGUUAAUGAGUUGCUUAUAGUUUUCAUAUGAACUUACUAAUCAAAAGCUUACCCCCCUUCUUUCCCAUGUUUUCUAGAGUUUCCAGGUUAGCUCGGGUUGGAGGCCGUCAGAGAUAUUAUCACACUGUCGAGUUAACGCUAUCGGCGUAAGUAAACUCAAGUGAUUCUAGUCUAUGGCAUGUAUAGGGUUUUAAUGUGAGUAUGUAAUAUUAUGAUUUAGCCAAAGGCAUUGGCUUGUUAUUAAGGUAGUAUUAGUCAUGUAAAUUGGCCUAUGUCGGCUAAUAUCAUUAUGGGCCCAUAUGAUUAUUCUUAUGCAUGUGUGUUAUUAUCUCUUGUGAUGUGGCUUACAACAUGUAUGCCUAGAGAUUGAAUUGAGAUUCAUUGAUGAGCUA